CUGGAGUUGAGCUGGGAGAUGCAGUCAUGGUGGAUGGGGUCCAAUGUGCUGGCUCCAAGGUCCAAGGACUCCAGAGCCCACUUGCACAGAAUGCGAUCAUGUGAGCAGACUUUGCCCUGCCUGGCAGGCGCUAAGCCACUCCUUACAGCAUCCUGGACACAGUCCGCGCUGCGCUGGAAGCUAAACGAGAACCCGAGACCAUGCAGAAGUGACUUUUAAAGGCCUUUCCGUGCUUGCUAAGCCACCAUUUCGGCAGGGGUGGCAAGCCUCAUUUUAAGCAAACCCCCUUGUAAGAGGCCCGCGGUCCCUCCGCUGUGCGCUUGAGGGGCCACCUGGAGCAGCGGGGGGACAGCCCUGAGUGACAGGGGCCUCCUCCAGGCAGCACCUGCAGAGCCCUGCUGACGCCCUCAGAUCCACAGGUUGACUUCUGAACAGCUGCGCCUGCGCCCGGCCUUCUCUCGCUCCACCUGAAUGACACUUGCUUUACUCUCACUCCGAUUCGUCCUGGACAUCUUUCCGGGAGGGUCAAGGUCCUGGAGGUCCCUGACCCCUGCGGAGGCCGGGCCAGCCCAGGUGCGGAAGCGGCCCAGUAACAGAAAUACUAUUUCCACAAGGUGUUCCAUUCACAGAAAGCAGCUGGAGCUCCAGCCUUAUGACCUUGGUCCAAGAUUUAUCUCACCUGUGCGUCAGUUUCCCAUCUGUGACCACGGGGGGACAGGCUGGGAGAAGAAUGGGCAUUGUACUGAACACCCACUGUUUCUCCCAGGCCUAGAAUCCUCAGGAAGGCCUACUGCUCAGACAGGUUUCCAGCUCCCACAGUUACUAGCCUUCCAGCUCACUUCAGGGGAGGGGUUGAAGGUGUGAACAAUGAAGUGUUUUCUUUCCUGAAAAAUCAAAGCCACACGGUCACUCAGUGUUUAGUGACCUGUCAUGUUUAUGGGGACCAUGCAAGUUACUCAACAGGCGUCUUCCUCAUAGAGUGUCACUUACUAAAUUCGAUUAAUUGAAUAAAAAUGUUCAUACGUGUAAAGGAACAAUCUAUUUUAAUGAACCGCUUUUGUAAAACAGGGAUUUGUAUUCUAUGAUCAUUCCAACUCAAACAUUUAAAAGAUAAUCUGCGUUUUCAUACACAAUUGCUUAAACCUUUCCAGUUCAGAGACUCAGAGCUACAGUAGAGCCUCUAGGGCUCACUCAGCAUAACCAAUCCCCAAAUCCCAGCUUCAGGAUUAAAAUGCCCCGCAGCCCAUGGAUCGAGGGGGAUUGUGAGGUCAGUCUCAGCUCCUAGAGGAGGGGUGGGGUGCGGGCGCUGGGCUUGCAAACAGGACAGCUCAGACCACAGCAGGGGGGGGGCAACAGCUCUUCAGGAAAAACUGGAACAUGGGCAGUGUGACUUUCACUGCCCAGAGCCGGGCCAGAUGCAGAAUUGUACAGGAAUGAGCUACUUGCAGGUGCUCCCUCCAGAUGCUAACAGCUCAGGGGCAGAGGGAAUGGCUCAGAGCUGGGCUCCAGGGGCCGCUCCAGGAAACCCUCGCUGAGCCAGCCUUCUCGAGCUCCUUCCUGUGCCAUAAGAAAACAAUUCUCAUUUUUUGUUUGAAAUGUAAAAACUAAUAUCCCCCUGGCGCUUGGCACACUUGCUGUUUUAUGUCAUCAGAACAAACUGGGCAACGGUGACAGCCCAGUGUUACCCCUCGGGCAGCGAGUUAGGCUGCUCUGCUCAGCCCGGAGGCAGCUGGAAGCUGCGGCUGCUGGAAGCUGCGGCUGCUGGAAGCAGCUUCCCAUCUGGGUCUGGGUCCGCUGGCCUGGCCAGUGAAAGGCGCUCCUUUCCUGACGGGAGGGAGGGGGUCUGGUCAGAAAUGAAAGGUUCGGGCUGGCUCUGGACUUGAUAGGAAGCAUUUCCCAGAGCUGUGAGCCGUUCUUCAUGGCGGCUCAGCUUCAGUCCCCACUCUGCGUCUUGGCCUCUGCACACAGAGCCCUCUAUCUCCGUGAAGCCCUCCUGGUUCACAUGUGAUCUCGGUAAAUUUCUGUUUAAAAAAGUCCCGUGUCUCCGUUGUCUAAUUCCAAAACCAGACGCACAGCAGAGAUAAAGUGAUGGUCAGACCAGCUCUCGGGAGUCUGCGUUGGUUCUGGAGCUCUGAGCUCACCAGGACGAAUCCCUCCGGCACCGCUGGCCCCGGCGUGCCCUUCCCGGGCCUGGAGCACAGCCUGCACAGUGAUGCGUGUGGAGUGGGUACAAGGAAGAAGGUUUAUAGUCGACGUGAUCUCUUGCUCUCAUUUCUCACCCAACGGAACGUCAUGAUCCAGCGAACUGUUCUUUCUGUGAUUCCAGGAAUACACGCGCCGUCUCUGACACGCCAGCCAGUGCCUUUGUGUUGAGUGGCGAGCGCUCCUCGUCCCCGCCAGUUUCUGGUGGCAGUGGGCUUCUUGCGAUGUCCCAGGAAAAAGCACUUUCUAAGACGCACGUGGGAGGAUGAGUGCGUUGUAGGAAGCUUUAUGUCUGUGGAAUUAACCCCUCCGUCCCACCAAGGAGAACUUCCGCCUGUGCCUUCAGCAGGGCUAGGAUCACAGCCAGGCCCGGAGCCUCUGUUCCAGGUCGGAGCAGGGUCCAGACGGCACCGGCUGGCUUGGCUUGUGCUCCUGCUGCGGUCCACCGGCCCCUUGCGUGUAGGGCCACACGGCUAUGGAGGGGACACGGCAGGAGCAAAGCCAAAGGAACCAGAGCCAAGAGGGCAAACUUCUCUGGUUGGGGCUUAUGUAUCCCCAAAUUUUCAAGGCUUGCAGUGCCCUGUCCCCUCUAGUCAAUGACCUCUGUUCCAGGUUUGACUGACAGGCAUCUUCCCUAAUCACUCCCACUUCCCUGUGCAGGCACCCAGCUUCCCUCUGUUGGACCCCUUGCCCAGGUGACUUGCAGGGAACGGGCUGGUGGCUCCCUGGGGAGGGUGAAGUUGCAGCUUCCUGGUGAAGCUGCCCAGUGACCAGGCCUGUCCUGUCUGGCCUCCUUUGCUCCUUUCCGAUUACGAAAAACCAGCUAAUUACAAUGUACCGCUUGCACAUGUGGUCCCUCGGCAGGGACGCAAGCCCCGGAGCUCUCCCUGGGACACUCUGCUCACCUGCGUGGAGCUGCCUCCUCUGCGAAGUCCUCUGGGCGCACCUGCACCUGCUGCGCUCCCACGGAAGUGGACUUUCUUACCCAAGUGCAGUUCUUGCGCUGGCUUUCUGCUUCUCCCUCCCCCAGAUUUGAAGCAACUGAGGCCACGGUCACCUUUGACAGGCACUGGAGAAUUAUUUUGUGAAAUAAAUGAACAGUUUUACCGAAACUUUCAAAAACCCUUUACAGUGCCCAGUAUUCUGGUGUGUGUAGAGUUUGGGCUUAUUCAAUAUUUUUGAUUGAUUUGCUAGAUUACCAGGUGCUGCCACGCUUCAAUUUUCUUAGCAGAUACAGGCAGAAUCUCAUUUUAACUGUCAUAAUCACACGGGUACAUUUUGUUCCUUUGAAACAUACAUCUACCAACAAUAAAAGACACACAAACACACACACACACACACACACACACACACUACUUUUCACAUCCCAACUCCAGGUCCCAGAACAGAGUUUAACAUGCUGUUUGAGAGGAAAUAGAUGUCUCUCCUUCAUUUUACUGCCUGAUUUCUGGAAAGAGCAGGUAAUUGCGCGGCCUCCAUUUGUUCAUUUCCUACUUACUCUUUAAUGUACAGCAACUGCAUCCCUCCUGAGUGGUUCUCUCAGAGGCUCAGUGACUAAUUACAAAAUCGAAUAGAAUUAUAGCAGACGUCCUCCUGCCUGGCUUCAUCAAGCACUGGCACCGUCGAUCUUUUUGAAAUGCGGUCUAACGGAAACGCAUGAGUUUCAAAGACCCAGUUUAAAUGUGAGUACCUGUGUGAACUUCGGGCAAGUCCCCUUAAACCUAUCAUCAUCCUCCAACAGCACUUUCGAUGUCUGUUCUGGGUGGGUGGAAAGUCAGAUGGGAUUCUGUGUGUGACGCACGGAGCAUCCCUCGACGUCCACCAUGGCUCCUUGGUCUUCUUCCAAUUGAGGUAUCUGAAGAAAUCUUCACAGGCGUCCCUUUGUCCUGCCCACCCUCUCAUUCCACAUUUUUCUCCCGCCCUGUUUCAGAUUCUCUCUUACCUGGACUGUGUGCAUAUAUAUACUUGAUAUUCCAAAAGUAUGACUGAUUGAUAGCAGCCUCUGAACUGGCCUGUGGGUCCUGACUUCGGCUUCUCCUGUACAUGUCACACACUGUCUCCAGGACUGAUUUCUUCAGUGCAGGUCAAUAAUGCCAUUGCCCCCUCCCCCGCC